GACGAACGCUGGCGGCGUGCUUAACACAUGCAAGUCGAACGGGAUUUAGUAGACAGAAGCCUCGGCUAAAGAUUACUAAUGAGAGUGGCGAACGGGUGAGUAACGCGUGAGCAACCUGCCUAUGACAGUGGGAUAGCCUCGGGAAACCGGGAUUAAUACCGCAUAAAAUCGUAGAAACACAUGUUUUAACGGUCAAAGAUUUAUCGGUCAAAGAUGGGCUCGCGUCUGAUUAGCUAGUUGGUGAGAUAACAGCCCACCAAGGCGACGAUCAGUAGCCGGUCGGGAGGAAGAACCGGCAAAUUUGGAAUUGGAAAACGGUCCAAACACCACCGGAAGGCAGAGGGGGGGAAUAUUGAAAAAGGGGGGAAACCUGGAGGCGCGGACGCGGGGGAAAAAAAAAAGGUAUUGGUAUCGAAAAGUUCUUCCCAAGGGGAAGAAAAGGCCGGUCCCAAGAAAGAAACCCCGGGUAAAAUCCUU
rnacentral:rRNA from 1 species